rnacentral:rRNA from 1 species
AUUGAACGCUGGCGGCAGGCCUAACACAUGCCAGUCGAACGGUAACAGGAAGAAGCUUGCUUCUUUGCUGACGAGUGGCGGACGGGUGAGUAAUGUCUGGGAAACUGCCUGAUGGAGGGGGAUAACUACUGGAAACGGUAGCUAAUACCGCAUAACGUCGCAAGACCAAAGAGGGGGACCUUCGGGCCUCUUGCCAUCGGAUGUGCCCAGAUGGGAUUCGCUAGUAGGUGGGGUAACGGCUCACCUAGGCGACGAUCCCUAGCUGGUCUGAGAGGAUGACCAGCCACACUGGAACUGAGACACGGUCCAGACUCCUACGGGAGGCAGCAGUGGGGAAUAUUGCACAAUGGGCGCAAGCCUGAUGCAGCCAUGCCGCGUGUAUGAAGAAGGCCUUCGGGUUGUAAAGUACUUUCAGCGGGGAGGAAGGGAGUAAAGUUAAUACCUUUGCUCAUUGACGUUACCCGCAGAAGAAGCACCGGCUAACUCCGUG